GCACGAGGAAUCUUGUGGGAAGCCGGGGGGACCACCCUCCAACCCUAAACACUGAAUGGCGACCGAUAGCGCAUAGUACCGUGAGGGAAAGGUGAAAAGAACCCCGGGAGGGGAGUGAAAGAGAACCUGAAACCGUAUGUCUACAAGCAGUCGGAGCGAAAGCGACGGCGUGCCUAUUGAAGAAUGAACCAACGAGUUACGUGCACUAGCGAGGUUAAGUGGAAGACACGGAGCCGAAGCGAAAGCGAGUCUUAAGAGGGCGGAUAGUUAGUGUACGUAGACCCGAAACCGCAGUGAUCUACCCAUGUCCAGGUUGAAGCGCAGGUAAAAUUGCGUGGAGGACCGAACCUGUGAGCGUUGAAAAGCUUUAGGAUGAGAUGUGGGUAGAGGUGAAAUUCCAAUCGAACGCGGAGAUAGCUGGUUCUCCCCGAAAUAGCUUUAGGGCUAGCCUCAAGUAGUAAGUAUAGGCGGUAGAGCACUGAUCGGGCUAGGGGCCAUAAAGGUUACCGAACCCUGUCAAACUCCGAAUGGUUAUACUGUAGAGCUUGGGAGUCAGACUACGAGUGAUAAGAUCCGUGGUCAAAAGGGAAACAGCCCAGACCACCAGCUAAGGUCCCCAAUGUCGUACUAAGUGGAAAAGGAUGUGGGGUCUCUAAAACAACCAGGAUGUUGGCUUAGAAGCAGCCACCAUUUAAAGAGUGCGUAAUAGCUCACUGGUCGAGAGACCCUGCGCCGAAGAUUACCGGGGCUAAAGUACGAAACCGAAGCUGUGGCUACGACAUAUGUCGUGGGGUAGGGGAGCGUUCUGUGAGGGCUGAAGUCGUUCUGUAAGGAACGGUGGACUUCACAGAAGUGAGAAUGUUGGUAUGAGUAGCGAAAAGAAUGGUGAGAAUCCAUUCCACCGAAAGCAUAAGGAUUCCUGGGCAACGAUCGUCGUCCCAGGGUAAGUCGGGACCUAAUCCGAGGCAUGGAGCGUAGGAGAUGGACAACUGGCAGAUAUUCCAGUACCGGUAAUGAUUGUUUGAGCGAUGGAGUGACACAGGAGGGCAGGCAGGCAGGAGAUUGGUUGUUCCUGUACAAGCGUGUAGGAUGGGACGCAGGCAAAUCCGCGUCCUGUGAGUCUGAGGCGUGAUGUGGAGGUUCCGGAAACGGAACUGAAGCUGCUGACCCCACACUGUCGAGAAAAGCUUCUAGUUAGAGAAUUACCGCCCGUACCGUAAACCGACACAGGUAUGCGGGGAGAGAAUCCUAAGGUGCGCGGGAGAACCCUCGUUAAGGAACUCGGCAAAAUGUACCCGUAACUUCGGGAUAAGGGUAGCCGCUGUUGUGAAGUCUGAACAGACGGAGCAUGAGGCGGUCGCAGAGAAGAGGCCCAAGCGACUGUUUACCACAAACACAGGUGCCUGCUAAAGAGAAAUCUGACGUAUAGGUGCUGACACCUGCCCAGUGCCGGAAGGUUAAGGAAGGAUGUCCGGAGCAAUCCAAAGCAUUCGACCGAAGCCCCGGUGAACGGCGGCCGUAACUAUAACGGUCCUAAGGUAGCGAAAUUCCUUGUCGGGUAAG
rnacentral:rRNA from 1 species